CGGCCGCCGCCGGGCGGGCCGGCCUGGUGCCGGUCCGGGGUGGCCUGCGAAAGCCGUGGGACCUGUGCGGGUCCCGCGCCGUCGCCGCCGC
rnacentral:tRNA from 1 species